rnacentral:tRNA from 1 species
GCCGGGGUGGCGGAAUUGGUAGACGCGCUGGACUUAAAAUCCAGUGAUGCUAAAACAUCGUGUGGGUUCGAUUCCCACCUUCGGCACCA